rnacentral:lncRNA from 1 species
GAGUGACAAAAAUCAUCAAAGUUCAGUGUAACUCCAUAAAGUCCUCAUAUCCUAGAAACUAUUUUAGAUAGAAAAAUCCAGACCUUUUCAGAGAAAUGUACUUUUUAGAUAAAUUAAACUACAUCAAUAGUUUUUUGCAAAAGUCAUACAUGAUUACAGAUUUUGUACUUUGAAUUUUUUGCCCCAUGAAAGCGAAUUAUGGAUGCGAAAACAUAUUACUUGGAUUUGUUUAAAAAACUGCUUAAAAAAUAGAGAUAGAUACUCCACUUUUUGGAAGUCUGUCGAUGAGGCGUAGCUCCUACAAACUUGCAUAGGAACUGGGCAUAGCAACGCCUGACAUUUAUUAGUGGUUGU